GGCUUUAUAGUCAUAAAUGAUUUUAGACUGCAAUUCUAAAGGAGUAGGUAAUCUGCUAAAGCUU
rnacentral:tRNA from 1 species